UCAACUGCUGCUUAGUCCAAAUGUUCAAUGAGUAAUGUAAACAGAAAUUUUCUGCAAUUAUUUAGAGUUGGCUGUUUGCAAAAUAGUUGAAAUUUUAGUUAUUUAUUUAAAUAUUGAUGUAGGCAAAUAUAUUUGUUGUGUUUGGCUUCUAACACGAGUGAAUAAAGGAUAGUGUUGACAAUUAAGAAUGAGUAUGUGCCAACAGAGAAGAAAUCCAUUCUCUUGAGUUUAAAAAAAACUUUAAAGUUAUUCAGGCAGAAUAUUUGAAUCCUAACUCUUAUUGAGAGAAAAAAUGAAAAUUGAAAUGAAAAGGAUGGCAUUUAAAAGGAAAUUCACUAAUAAACAGAAGGAUGAUGUACUGUGGCGAAAUGUGGUAUGUUUUCCUAUUAAUUUACUAUAUGCGAUGUUAUAUACCAAAGGACAAAGGACUUGAUGUUGUAAUAUUGAAUAAAUUAGUAACCAU